UCAAAGAAGAUUCAACAAUCCAACUGCUUUCCCGUAGGUGCUAAUGCUCUAUUUGCUCUGUAUUACAACAACUGCAGAAUAUCCAGAUGGUUCUCAUACUUAUUCACAAAUAAUUGGGCUUCUUCUAUUGAAAUCUAUGUUCCCCAUGUUUUCAUGUUCAAGAAAAACCUGCUCAUUGUUUUAAAAAAAGUCAAGUAAUGAGAAAGGAUUUAAUGAGAUUUCCAGUCCUACUGCCCAGAAGUAAUCUCUGUUAACUAUUUCUGUGUAUACUGCCAGCCAUUUUCUAUACAGCAACUUAAAGCCUGAAGACAGAAGAUACACAGUUGACUCUUUAACAACAUGAGUUUCAACUGUAAAGGUCUACUUAUACUCAGAUUUGCUUCUGUCACCCGAGACAGCAAGACCAACCCCUCCUUUUCUUCAGCCUACUCAAAGCGAAGACAAUGAGGAUGAAGACCUUUAUAGUGAUCCACUUCUGCUUAAUGAAUUAUAAAUAUAUGUUCUCCUCCUCAUAA